GCAACGUGUGAACGUGUUGAACGCGAGC
rnacentral:sRNA from 1 species